GUCUAAUCUGCCCACUGAUAUAAUAUUAAAGGGGUGCAGUAUUUUGAGUGUACAAAGGUAGCAUAAUCAUUAGUCUUUUAAUUGAAGACUUGUAUGAAUGAUUGGAUGAAAUAUAAACUGUCUCUAAUAUUAUUAGUUAGAAUUUAAUUUUUUUAUUAAAAAGUAAAAAUAAAUUUAAAAGACGAGAAGACCCUAUAGAGUUUUAUAAUUAAUUUAAUUGAAAUUAUUUAUAAAGAUAAUUUUAAAUUAAUAAAUUAAAAUUAAGUUAAUUAUUUUGUUGGGGUGAUAAAAAAAUAAAAAUAACUUUUUUUAAUAAAUAUAUAUAUAUAUAUAUAUAUAUAUAUAUAUAUUGUAAACAAAAAUAAAUGAUUUUUUGAUCCAGAAUUUUUGAUUAUAAGAAAAAAUUACCUUAGGGAUAACAGCGUAAUUUUUUUUUUUAGUUCAAAUAAGAAAAAGAGUUUGCGACCUCGAUGUUGGAUUAAGGAAAAAUUUAAAUGCAAAAGUUUAAAAUUUUG
rnacentral:rRNA from 1 species